AUGGGUUUUGGACUGAAUAGAAUUUUCGUUCUGACUCUUUUACAAGGUGUCCAGUGUGAUGUGCAGCUGGUGGAGUCUGGGGGAAAUGUGAGACAGCCAAGGGGUUCUCUUCAUCUCUCCUGCAAAGCUUCUGCAUUUACUUUCAUCAACUACUGUAUAGAUUGGGUCCGCCAGGCUCCAGGGAAGGGACUUGAAUGGGUUGCACAAAUUAGUGCUAGUGGUAACAUAUACUAUGCAGACUCCGGGAAAGGUCGAUUCACCAUCUCCAGAGGUGAUAGCAGCAGCAUGUUAUAUCUGCAGAUGACUUCCCUUAAGACCAAGGAUACAGCGGUGUAUUACUGUACGAGAGACACGGUGAGGAAAAGGAAUGUGAGACCAGACAAAAACUGCGCCUACCAGGAGGUGAGACAUCAGUGA